rnacentral:rRNA from 1 species
UACAGGGGGUGCAAACGUUGCUCGGAAUUAUUGGGCGUAAAGCGCGCGUAGGCGGCUACUUAAGUCGGAUGUGAAAGCCCCUGGCUCAACUGGGGAAGUGCACCCGAAACUGAGCAGCUAGAGUACGAAAGAGGGUCGCGGAAUUCCCGGUGUAGAGGUGAAAUUCGUAGAUAUCGGGAUGAACACCGGUGGCGAAGGCGGCGACCUGGGUCGAUACUGACGCUGAGGCGCGAAAGCGUGGGGAGCAAACAGG